AUUGAACGCUGGCGGCAGGCCUAACACAUGCAAGUCGAGCGGCUGAACAGAACUUGCUCCUUGUUACAGGUGCCGACUGGCGGAUGAGUGCGAGGUAUCUCCGUGUCAGUUUUUUCGAAGGGCCGAACACAGGCACUAAUACGCCAUUCCUGCUUAGGAACAACGGGUGAGAUCUUGGGACCUUACGCCAUUGCGUGAUUCUAUGUCCCGAUGUCGGAUUAGCUAGUUGGAGGGGUAAAGGCCCACCAAGGCGACGAUCCGUAGCUGGUCUGAGAGGAUGAUCAGCCACACUGGAACUGAGACACGGUCCAGACUCCUACGGGAGGCAGCAGUGGGGAAUAUUGGACAAUGGGCGCAAGCCUGAUCCAGCCAUGCCGCGUGGGUGAAGAAGGCCUUCGGGUUGUAAAGCCCUUUUGGUUGGGAAGAAAAGCAGUAAGUUAAUACCCCGCUGUUUUGACGGUACCAAAAGAAUAAGCACCGGCUAACUUCGUG
rnacentral:rRNA from 1 species